rnacentral:lncRNA from 1 species
AACUAUUCUAUAUGAUACUAUAGCGGUAGCUACAUGGCCUUAUGCAUUUGUUGAAACCCAUGAAACUACAACACAGAGUGAGCCCUAAUAGAAACUGUGGAUUUUAGUGUAUAAUAACAUAUAAAUUUUGGUUCACCAAUUUUAGCAAAUGUAUCACACUGAUGCAGGAUGUUAAUAAGAGGUAAAUGUGUGUGUCGGGGUGUACUUUCUCUGCAAUUAUUUUGUAAUCCUAAAACUACUCUAAAAAUAAAGUCUAUAAAAAAAAUUUUUUUAAGAGACCAGGUCUCACUCUAUGGUCUUGUUAUGUUGCCCAGGCUGGUGUUAUCGAUAUUUUGAAGUUUUAUUAAAAUUUCACAGACUUGCCCAAAUCAGCUGAAAUCAUAGCAUAUUUGUGACAUAAUGGUGAUAGCAAUGGUUGGUUCACUUUUCAAAGAAAAGUGAUAUUCACCUGGGACAUCUAAAAAUAUUGCAUAUUUAAUUGUUUUUCUAUGUGCUAUUAGUCCACCACACAGAGGAGUUGAAAGUAGGCAAAGAAGUCAGA